CAGCGGAUCACUCUGGUCUCUUCUGCUCUCUCUCUUUUCUCUUCAGAAAUUAAAGCAGAGCUGCAUCUGAGAGUGGAAAAGGUCCCCCUUCUGACCAGCUGGGCUUCUCAGGUUUCCUGGAGACUGGCUCUGCUGCAGACCCUGAUUCCUGACAGUCAGCAUACAAGCAAGUCAAAGGAGAAAGAUUUCUAAGAGGUCUAACAAUGGGUUAGAUCAUUCCUCUACCUGCGACAAACCUGCACAAGGAACAGGGAACUUCCUUGAGGAGUUUUCUCUGGACCAUUCAAUCAGAGAGCUCUGAGAAACCUCACACCAGCAUGAAAAGUUUAAAGAGAGUCUAUGGGCCCAGCUGGCCCUGCCCUGCUAUACCUGCAGCCAAUGCCAGGCCUGGGAGGAGAAGACAAGGAGAGAACCUGGCCCAGGUCAGGGCUGACGGGUGAAGAGGAAGGAGCAAGCUGCUUCUUUACGUGAGGGGAGCAUCACUAGGAGCCUGACAGCCACCAGGGAAGAAGUACCGCAUCUCUGAUCAAGGAGCACUUAGCAGCAGUCCCAUUGGAGUCAUGCAAUUAAGGAGUGCAGGAUUUGUCCCCUGGAAGGAAUUAGCUGGAAGUUCCUGGAGUAGCUGAAUGGUUGAAUUUAGAGGGACAUAUCAUUUGUGGGGCAGGGGCAGAGAACAAUUAUGGUAACAUCUGCCUCUCCGAACAUAUUGUUGUGAUUUAUCCAAUCCAGUCUUCCUUUAUUAACUUCAUUUUCUUCUGUCCUGGCAAAAAUUGACAUAGGCAACAGGUAUCUUUUCAUUGUAUAAAAUGCAACAGAGACAAGGAAGAAGUAUUUUGGAUGGAUAGCUAAUUACUUGAAACAUCAACACAAGCCACAUCAAUCGUCUCUGUAAAUAAAUCACAUAUUAGAAAUUAACAAACUGCUACGAAUGGAGAAAGGGAGCAGGACAAGAAAGGGUCCCCAACAGAAAGUGGCAGAAAGUAAAUAUUGUUGCUUUUCCUGGGGGAUUUGGAGAUUCCCCCCCAUCCCCCACCCCAGAUCUCCAUGGGGCAAGUUUUUCGUUUGUUUGUUUUUCAUCCUGGUGGAUCCCUGAUUUCAUUUCUGGGUAAGAAUUCUGGAGAUCACCACUGGGGCUAUGCUGGCCUAUUCAAUCUCCCAGGCUGAAUGGCCACUGGAAAGGGACCCUCCCACCCCCAGCCUAUGGAGCUCAGCAAGCACUGGGUAUAACUCAAUGCCUCCCCAACAUCACCUACAAGUACCCGGGAUGGGGUGGGGUUGAGGGGAAAAACACAGAAUCCUCCCAUAGGAAGCGGAAGGGACUUGACAGCAGCAUAAACCUCAUUAUGCAGCUGCCAUUGAGAAGACAAAGUUAUUCAGAAUAUGUUGGGUCUGCACCAUCAUGGAGCUCAGCUAGGCCUCACGGCUCCACCAAACAUCACAACUCAGAGACUGGCAGCACCUGGAUCUGGCCCAAUACCGACUGUCAGCAUUCUAGCUAUAUAUUUUUUUUACAUCCUGUAACCAGAACUGAGGUAUCCAUAGCCACUGACAGAUGGGGUAUAUCUAGUCCAGUUUCCUAGGAUUAGUUUACACUGAGGACAGCUUAGGGGCAAACGUGUUCAGUUUUGAGGAGGGGUCAAUCACAACUCACUAGAGUCCCUUUCUAACCUAAAUCAUGUUAUUGGGGAAGAGUAGGCAGUCUAAACUGGACUGUGCAUUGUAAUUCAAAUACCGUACUAAGCACUCCUCACAUACAAUAUUAAGGACUCUUUGGACAGGCAGAUUCACAACUCAAAAACAGUUCAAGUGAAUUUCUUCAGAGAAAAGUGCUCAGGGCAAUUUUUUUUACGGCCAUGUCUACACCUACUGGGGAAUGAUGCUGCUGCAAUCGAUGAAACACUGCGGGGGAAAAAGGGAAAGGAUGGGGUGGGAGGGGAGGGUGCAGAAUUUAGCGGAUCUUGUGAAGACCUCUGAAUUGACCUCAAAGCACUCACUCCGGUACUCCACCACAAUGAGAGGAUUAAGGUAAAUCAAUGGGAGAGUGUCUCCUGUCGAAGCAGCGUGGUGUAGACACCACAGUAAGUCAACCUAAGCUAUGUCAACUCCAGCUACAUUAUUCACGUAGCUGGAGUAGCGUAACUUAGUUCGACUUACCCCAGUAGUGUAGACAAGGCCUAUGACAGUGUCGGAAGGGAAUUACCCAGGUAAAUAGCUGCAAAAUCAGGGUCAGGUUCCUGCCAUCCUUACUCAUGUGAGUAAUCCCACUGAGACUACUAAUAUGAGUAAUGUGAUAUAUGUAGCUAAAAAAAGUGGGAGGAGGGAAUGCUACAAUUCUCUUUUCUGUGUACUGUAUCUUUAAAUGUACGGAAAUUCUGGGUGAGUCUGGUGGGGGCCAGUUUUGAAAGCAGUUUAUAUAGAGUGCUCUCUCUGCUGUACAAUUAUAUUUGUUGGUGCUUUCUUUGUUUUUCUUAUUCUCUAACAGGUCAGACUCAAAGUCUUGUUCUGAACUGUGUUAGGACUUUAACAAGUCAGGACUCUUUGUGUAACUAAGGAUUACUUGCAUGAGUAAAAGGCUGCUGGAUCAGGCUCAGAUUCUCCAAGGAGAGGAUAUUUGUCAAAAUUAAUGUUAAUGACACCUUUCAAACUAAAAUGACAGCCAACGACCAUCUUCGGUUAUAGCAGCUGUUUACCAUAUUAAUAUUCAAAAGAAACUUACAUGAAGAUGGGAUGCUGUUACUGGACACAGUAAAAUAUCUGCAGGAGCAAAAACAGGAGAAAAAUCAGACACACACACACACACAGAGAAACCCUUCAAAAGUCAUAUUCAAAGUUGUUGAUAGCAGUGGGAUCCUUGGCAAAAUGGAAAUCUCAGCUGCAGGUGGGAGGUAAAUUGCCUUCUUUCUUUUGUGCUUUUAAUACUGUUCAGCUUAUCCUGCAAUUCAACUGGGAAACCGAAUGACCAUUUGCCAAAAUUAGAACCCCAGUUAUGUAACAAGUAUACCUCCAACUCUCCACAAAACAUAUGUGAAUAUUCCAGUUGUAAAAAUAGGGGGUUAGAGUGGCCUGUGGCCAUUUUGGGUGCACAAUCAUUUCUGCAAGUGUACCUGUUACUUCUUCCUUUGAAAAUGUGUCCCUUUAAAUCUAUACUUGCAUUCUGACAGACGCUUUGCCACUAUCCAUUUUUUAAAAAUAUUUUCAGUUAAUCUUUUCACACAAAAACC